rnacentral:rRNA from 1 species
GACGAACGCUGGCGGCGCGCCUAACACAUGCAAGUCGAACGAGCGAGAGAGAGCUUGCUUUCUCAAGCGAGUGGCGAACGGGUGAGUAACGCGUGAGGAACCUGCCUCAAAGAGGGGGACAACAGUUGGAAACGACUGCUAAUACCGCAUAAGCCCACAGGUCGACAUCGACCAGAGGGAAAAGGAGCAAUCCGCUUUGAGAUGGCCUCGCGUCCGAUUAGCUAGUUGGUGAGGUAACGGCCCACCAAGGCAACGAUCGGUAGCCGGACUGAGAGGUUGAACGGCCACAUUGGGACUGAGACACGGCCCAGACUCCUACGGGAGGCAGCAGUGGGGAAUAUUGCACAAUGGGGGAAACCCUGAUGCAGCGACGCCGCGUGGAGGAAGAAGGUCUUCGGAUUGUAAACUCCUGUUGUUGAGGAAGAUAAUGACGGUACUCAACAAGGAAGUGACGGCUAACUACGUG